rnacentral:rRNA from 1 species
ACCUGGCGGCGAGCGGCGAACGGGGUGAGUAAUGCAUCGGAACAUGUCCAUGUCGUGGGGGAUAGCCCGGCGAAAGCCGGAUUAAUACCGCAUACGUCCGAGAGGAGAAAGUGGGGGACCCGCAAGGGCCUCACGCGAUUGGGUUGGCCGAUGUCCGAUUAGCUAGUUGGUGAGGUAAAGGCUCACCAAGGCGAUGAUCGGUAGCUGGUCUGAGAGGAUGAUCAGCCACACUGGGACUGAGACACGGCCCAGACUCCUACGGGAGGCAGCAGUGGGGAAUUUUGGACAAUGGGGGCAACCCUGAUCCAGCCAUUCCGCGUGAGUGAAGAAGGCCUUCGGGUUGUAAAGCUCUUUUGUCCGGAACGAAACGGGUAGCGUGAAUAUCGCUGCCUACUGACGGUACCGGAAGAAUAAGCAC